UACGGAGGGUGCAAGCGUUAUCCGGAUUCACUGGGUUUAAAGGGUGCGUAGGUGGGCAGGUAAGUCAGUGGUGAAAUCUCCGAGCUUAACUCGGAAACUGCCGUUGAUACUAUUGUCUUGAAUAUUGUGGAGGUAAGCGGAAUAUGUCAUGUAGCGGUGAAAUGCUUAGAUAUGACAUAGAACACCAAUUGCGAAGGCAGCUUACUACACAACGAUUGAUGCUGAGGCACGAAAGCGUGGGGAUCAAACAGG
rnacentral:rRNA from 1 species